CGACAAGCGGUGGAGCAUGUGGUUAAUUCGAAGCAACGCGAAGAACCUUACCAGGUCUUGACAUCCCGAUGCUAUUUCUAGAGAUAGAAAGUUACUUCGGUACAUCGGUGACAGGUGGUGCAUGGUUGUCGUCAGCUCGUGUCGUGAGAUGUUGGGUUAAGUCCCGCAACGAGCGCAACCCCUAUUGUUAGUUGCCAUCAUUCAGUUGGGCACUCUAGCGAGACUGCCGGUAAUAAACCGGAGGAAGUGGGGAUGACGUCAAAUCAUCAUGCCCCUUAUGACCUGGGCUACACACGUGCUACAAUGGUUGGUACAACGAGUUGCGAGUCGGUGACGGCGAGCUAAUCUCUUAAAGCCAAUCUCAGUUCGGAUUGUAGGCUGCAACUCGCCUACAUGAAGUCGGAAUCGCUAGUAAUCGCGGAUCGGCACGCCGCGGUGAAUACGUUCCCGGGCCUU
rnacentral:rRNA from 1 species